ensembl:snoRNA
UGUGAGAGUGAUGAGUUGCACUAAAUCAGUUGGGGUGUUUGUUGCAGUGGCAUCAACGCCUCAAGCCGAUCCCAGCCUGAGGACACACUAUGUGCACAGGGGCCAUCUGACUCCAC